UACGGAGGGGGCAAGCGUUAUUCGGAAUUAUUGGGCGUAAAGGGCGCGUAGGCGGCUAGAUGUGUCAAAGGUGAAAUCCCUCGGCUCAACUGAGGAACUGCCUUUGAAACUGUCUGGCUUGAGGCCGGGAGAGGGUAGCGGAAUUCCCAGUGUAGCGGUGAAAUGCGUAGAUAUUGGGAGGAACACCAGUGGCGAAGGCGGCUACCUGGACCGGUUCUGACGCUGAGGCGCGAAAGCGUGGGUAGCAAACAGG
rnacentral:rRNA from 2 species